UUUGUUAAAGCCAAACUGUAGAGGCUUAUUAUUGUUAAUAAUAGAAUUGACUAAAGUCUAGCUAGG
rnacentral:tRNA from 1 species